UGUGAGAGAUGAGUGCCUCCGGUAAAGAGGGCGCAGGGCAGAGGGACAAAGGUGGGCAUGAGGGUGGCUACUUCCACCUCUCCACGGACUGGGGGCUGGGGGACCACCCAAUAGGCAGCUGUGUCUGGAGCUGAAAUACAAGCAAGGAGGCCAAAAAAAGGUUAUUUCAAUCAUUGAUUGUGACAUGUGUACAUUUCAAGCUCUCACUUCUAGAGUGGGAAAUCCCAGCUUUGAAAGAGGAAUCAGAGCAUCAACAUAGAAGCAGUAAUGGCCUACAAGCAAAAUAUUCAUAUUCUGUUCUCAGCAGCAAGUUCAACUGUCAGUCUAUUAGUUCAGAAUCCAAAGGAUAUGUUCAAACAUAUUCGUAACCCAGUGAUGUGUCUGUGUUGUUCAAUGUAGCCUCGGGAAAUCAGAAAGAAAUAUUUAUGUGUUAAAAGAAGAAUUGUCAAGAAAAAUUCCACAGGGUGCUCAGAGUUUUCUGAUCUUUCAGAGAAAAGGCGAGACAGCAUCUUCCUCUCAUUUCUUCCGAUUAGGUGCUGGGAUUACAACAUGAAACAAGACAGAGUCUCCAGCCUCUUGUCUAAUGGAAGAAAUCAAUGAAUAAACAGUCUAGUGAUGUGCUAAUUAAAACAGACAACCCUG